rnacentral:rRNA from 1 species
UACGAAGGGGGCUAGCGUUGCUCGGAAUCACUGGGCGUAAAGGGUGCGUAGGCGGGUUUUAAGUCAGGGGUGAAAUCCUGGAGCUCAACUCCAGAACUGCCUUUGAUACUGAAGAUCUUGAGUCCGGGAGAGGUGAGUGGAACUGCGAGUGUAGAGGUGAAAUUCGUAGAUAUUCGCCAAGAACACCAGUGGCGAAGGCGGCUCACUGGCCCGGUACUGACGCUGAGACGCCGAAAGCGUGGGGAGCGAACAGG